rnacentral:rRNA from 1 species
GCAGUAGCCGUAGAGUUUGAUCCUGGCUCAGAAGUCCUUACAAGGGAACCCUAAAAUUUUAUCCUGGGUCCCAAAUUCUAAACAGGGAACCCUAAAAUUUUGUUCCAGGCUCCCAAUUAAAAACAGGUAACCCUUAAACUUUCUACCGGGGAAAGCAGGGGAUCGCAAGACCUUGCACUAUUAGAGCGGCCGAUAUCGGAUUAGCUAGUUGGUGGGGUAACGGCUCACCAAGGCGACGAUCCGUAGCUGGUUUGAGAGGACGACCAGCCACACUGGGACUGAGACACGGCCCAGACUCCUACGGGAGGCAGCAGUGGGGAAUUUUGGACAAUGGGGGAAACCCUGAUCCAGCCAUCCCGCGUGUGCGAUGAAGGCCUUCGGGUUGUAAAGCACUUUUGGCAGGAAAGAAACGUUCCGGGUUAAUACCCCGGGAAACUGACGGUACCUGCAGAAUAAGCACCGGCUAACUACGUGCCAGCAGCCGCGGUAAUACGUAGGGUGCAAGCGUUAAUCGGAAUUACUGGGCGUAAAGCGUGCGCAGGCGGUUCGGAAAGAAAGAUGUGAAAUCCCAGAGCUUAACUUUGGAACUGCAUUUUUAACUACCGAGCUAGAGUGUGUCAGAGGGAGGUGGAAUUCCGCGUGUAGCAGUGAAAUGCGUAGAUAUGCGGAGGAACACCGAUGGCGAAGGCAGCCUCCUGGGAUAACACUGACGCUCAUGCACGAAAGCGUGGGGAGCAAACAGGAUUAGAUACCCUGGUAGUCCACGCCCUAAACGAUGUCAACUAGCUGUUGGGGGCCUUCGGGCCUUGGUAGCGCAGCUAACGCGUGAAGUUGACCGCCUGGGGAGUACGGUCGCAAGAUUAAAACUCAAAGGAUUGACGGGGACCCGCACAAGCGGUGGAUGAUGUGGAAUAAUUCGAUGCAACGCGAAAAACCUUACCUACCCUUGACAUGUCUGGAAUGCCGAAGAGAUUUGGUAAGUGCUCCCAAGAGAACCGGGAACCCGGGUGCUGCAUGGCUGUUCGUCAGCUCGUGUCAUUGAAAUGUAGGUUAAUGUCCCGCCAUCGGGCGCCACCCCUUGGUCAUAGUUGCUAGCGAACGGGCACUUCUACUGGACUGCCCGGGUGACCAUCCGGAAGGGAAAGGGUGGGGGAAUGACCGUCAAGUCCUCUCUAGUGCCCAUAUAGGGGGUGUAGGGCUUUCCCACAGCUUUCUAUCACAGGUCACGGAACCGAGAGGUUCGCAACGCUGCGAGGGGGGACUACUUAUUUGCCUCAGCAAAAAGUACCUCGAAAAUG